UACGUAGGGUGCGAGCGUUAAUCGGAAUUACUGGGCCUAAAGCGUGCGCAGGCGGUGAUGUAAGACAGGUGUGAAAUCCCCGGGCUUAACCUGGGAACUGCAUUUGUGACUGCAUCGCUGGAGUGCGGCAGAGGGGGAUGGAAUUCCGCGUGUAGCAGUGAAAUGCGUAGAUAUGCGGAGGAACACCGAUGGCGAAGGCAAUCCCCUGGGCCUGCACUGACGCUCAUGCACGAAAGCUAGGGGAGCAAACAGG
rnacentral:rRNA from 1 species